rnacentral:rRNA from 1 species
GCAAGCGUUGCUCGGAAUCACUGGGCGUAAAGGGCGCGUAGGCGGGCUGGCAAGUCGGUCGUGAAAUCCUUCGGCUCAACCGAAGAACGUCGGCCGAUACUGCCGUUCUUGAGGGAUGCAGAGGAGAUUGGAAUUCCCGGUGUAGCGGUGAAAUGUGUAGAGAUCGGGAGGAACACCGGUGGCGAAGGCGGGUCUCUGGGCAUCUCCUGACGCUGAGGCGCGAAAGCGUGGGGAGCAAACGGG